UUGAACGCUGGCGGCAGGCCUAACACAUGCAAGUCGAGCGCGAAAGGUUUUCGGACUGAGUAAAGCGGCGGACGGGUGAGUAACGCGUGGGAAUCUGCCCAGUAGUGGGGGACAACAGUCGGAAACGACUGCUAAUACCGCAUACGCCCUACGGGGUAAAGGGGGGGAUCUUCGGACCUCUCGCUACUGGAUGAGCCCGCGUCGGAUUAGCUAGUUGGUAGGGUAAAGGCCUACCAAGGCUACGAUCCGUAACUGGUCUGAGAGGAUGAUCAGGCACACUGGAACUGAGACACGGUCCAGACUCCUACGGGAGGCAGCAGUGGGGAAUAUUGGACAAUGGGGGCAACCCUGAUCCAGCCAUGCCGCGUGUGUGAAGAAGGCCUUAGGGUUGUAAAGCACUUUCAGUGGGGAGAAAGGUUUGUCACCUAAUACGUGAUGAAAUUGAUGUUACCCACAGAAGAAGCACCGGCUAACUCCGUGCCAGCCGCCGCCGUAA
rnacentral:rRNA from 1 species